GUCAACUACCCCUCCCUAACUGAAGCAAAUGCUUCAGUUGAGGAAGGAGCUUGUUUCCAUAAAGCAAGUUCCUGGUUGACCAGACCACUGGAUACCGGUUGAACAUGUCAAAGAAAAGUCCAGUAAACGAUACCGGAGAAUACAACAGUAGUCACCCUGGGAUGCCGCCUCAGUCCCUUGCUCUGAG
rnacentral:sRNA from 21 species